UCUUAAUUAUCUUUAUAAAUACAUUGAUACAGAUACCUACUAAAUACCUAUAUUGUAUCGUCAUUUCUAAAAGUUUCUUUUUUUGUAAUCACGCUGUAUAGUAUUGGCAAUUCACAAAUAGAUACAUCGUAAAUUAUUAAUACUAAUAAUACUAUGUUUUUACUCUGAAGUUUGAUCUUUUUUUAUUUAAAAACAUUUCAAUAGGUGA